rnacentral:rRNA from 1 species
UGGUGACAGCCUAUACUGCAGNUCGGGCGAGCUUGCCUAGAUGAUUUUAGUGCUUGCACUAAAUGAAACUAGAUACAAGCGAGCGGCGGACGGGUGAGUAACACGUGGGUAACCUGCCCAAGAGACUGGGAUAACACCUGGAAACAGAUGCUAAUACCGGAUAACAACACUAGACGCAUGUCUAGAGUUUGAAAGAUGGUUCUGCUAUCACUCUUGGAUGGACCUGCGGUGCAUUAGCUAGUUGGUAAGGUAACGGCUUACCAAGGCAAUGAUGCAUAGCCGAGUUGAGAGACUGAUCGGCCACAUUGGGACUGAGACACGGCCCAAACUCCUACGGGAGGCAGCAGUAGGGAAUCUUCCACAAUGGACGAAAGUCUGAUGGAGCAACGCCGCGUGAGUGAAGAAGGGUUUCGGCUCGUAAAGCUCUGUUGGUAGUGAAGAAAGAUAGAGGUAGUAACUGGCCUUUAUUUGACGGUAAUUACUUAGAAAGUCACGGCUAACUACGUGCCAGCAGCCGCGGUAAUACGUAGGUGGCAAGCGUUGUCCGGAUUUAUUGGGCGUAAAGCGAGUGCAGGCGGUUCAAUAAGUCUGAUGUGAAAGCCUUCGGCUCAACCGGAGAAUUGCAUCAGAAACUGUUGAACUUGAGUGCAGAAGAGGAGAGUGGAACUCCAUGUGUAGCGGUGGAAUGCGUAGAUAUAUGGAAGAACACCAGUGGCGAAGGCGGCUCUCUGGUCUGCAACUGACGCUGAG